UAAAUUGAGAGUUUGAUCCUGGCUCAGGAUGAACGCUGGCGGCGUGCUUAACACAUGCAAGUCGAGCGAUGAAGUUUCCUUCGGGAAACGGAUUAGCGGCGGACGGGUGAGUAACACGUGGGUAACCUGCCUCAUAGAGUGGAAUAGCCUUCCGAAAGGAAGAUUAAUACCGCAUAACGUUGAAAGAUGGCAUCAUCAUUCAACCAAAGGAGCAAUCCGCUAUGAGAUGGACCCGCGGCGCAUUAGCUAGUUGGUGGGGUAACGGCCUACCAAGGCG
rnacentral:rRNA from 1 species